rnacentral:rRNA from 1 species
GGGUGCGAUCCUACUAGUACUAAUACACCGGAUUCCAUCGGAACUCCGCAUUUAAGCGUGCUUGGGCGAGUGUAGUACUACGAUGGGUGACCUCCUAGGAAGUCCACGUGUUGCACCAU